CUGAGCCUUGCCUUUGAUGUCACAAUCUGACCUGUAGCCAUUAAUGUGGCCACAGCCACUCACAGAGCAGAUGGCAAGGUCAAGAGUACCACAGUAAGAUGUGGAAGAGACCUGAUCCUCAGGCCAAGAUCAAAGCAGGGGACAGGCCUCAGACUUGCCAGUCUCUGGCUCUGGGAUGGGCCACAGAGUGGGCCCUGCCGCAGGCUCUAGAACUGUCAGACUUUCAGAACUUUUCGGUAUUUGAGGACAUUAGCCAACACACCAAAGAAGUGGGAGUCAACUGGUAAAGAAAGUGAAUGCUAUCUUUCAGCUUGACAUCACCAAAGAUGGGAAGACCAUUCUGCAGUGGACCAUUGACCCCAAGAAUGGUGCGGGGGACAUGUACCUGGGAUCGGCCCAGCUUCCUGCAGACACUGUCUUCAUCAUCCCUGACUCUGUCUUCACAGUUAGUUGUGGGUAAGAUAAACCCACAGAAGGCUUUCCUGGCUGGCAAGUUUAAAAUGAGAGGCAAAGUUCUCCUUAGUCAGAAGCUGGAGAGGAUCUUCAGAGAGUGGGCUAAAAUGUAAGCAUGUGGGAAUACCCAGGAAAGAUCAAGACUUCUGGCUUAUAAUGCUGAGUAGCAAUCAUAAUCAUGCUUUAACUGAAGAUUAAAGGAAAAAAUAGCCAAUAUUUUUACUUAAAAAAAAAAAAAAAGAAAUGCCAAGCCACACACAAGUUUUCUUCUAAGGGCCACUGUAUUGUACUGGCCUCACUGCAGCUUUACCUACAUGACCUGUGCAUGUAAAACACUGAAUUCACAGAAUUAGUGUGGGUUGAGACUGCCAAGAAAAAGUUACAGGUUUGUGUGAUUUAAUAAAAAUUAAGAAAAAGUAUAAAAUGAAAGGAUGCACGGAAAAUGGUGUUCAUUUGAUCACUGAGUAAUAACAUGGAAGGAAAAUACUUUUAAAUCACUUAUAAAGUCUUAAAUGUUCUUAAAAUUCAUCGCUGCAGAAUUCUAAACAAUGCACAUUGUCUGGUGUAGUGCCAGUGAAGGGGCUAUUAACAGAAACACAAGCUCUACAAAGAAUCUGUGGUAGAAGCAGAAAUAAAUAAAAUUGAUUUUUACCUCUGGAAGCCUUCGCUAUGCACACAUCUUUGCUAAGAAAGUCAACAAAACCAUUAAGGACUAAGGCAGUAAAUGGCUGAAGCAUAAGACAGGCCUGAACCUCCAGUGCUGAUGACAGUCUCUAUUAAG
rnacentral:lncRNA from 1 species